UCCCAGACUCCUACGGGAGGCAGCAGUGGGGAAUAUUGCACAAUGGGGGAAACCCUGAUGCAGCGACGCCGCGUGAGUGAAGAAGUAAUUCGUUAUGUAAAGCUCUAUCAGCAGGGAAGAAAAUGACGGUACCUGAGUAAGAAGCCCCGGCUAACUACGUGCCAGCAGCCGCGGUAAUACGUAGGGGGCAAGCGUUAUCCGGAAUUACUGGGUGUAAAGGGAGCGUAGGCGGGGGAACAAGUUGAAUGUUUAAGAUAUGGGCUCAACUCAUAUAAGCGUUCAAAACUGUUUUUCUUGAGUGAAGUAGAGGUAAGCGGAAUUCCUAGUGUAGCGGUGGAAUGCGUAAAUAUUAGGAGGAACACCAGUGGCGAAGGCGGCUUACUGGGCUUUAACUGACGCUGAGGCUCGAAAGCGCGGGUAGCAAACAGGAUUAGAUACCCUUGUA
rnacentral:rRNA from 1 species